ACCAACCCGAUGCAAACUGCGAAUACCGGAGAAUGUUAUCACGGGAGACACACGGCGGGUGCUAACGUCCGUCGUGAAGAGGGAAACAACCCAGACCGCCAGCUAAGGUCCCAAAGUCAUGGUUAAGUGGGAAACGAUGUGGGAAGGCCCAGACAGCCAGGAUGUUGGCUUAGAAGCAGCCAUCAUUUAAAGAAAGCGUAAUAGCUCACUGGUCGAGUCGGCCUGCGCGGAAGAUGUAACGGGGCUAAACCAUGCACCGAAGCUGCGGCAGCGACGCUUAUGCGUUGUUGGGUAGGGGAGCGUUCUGUAAGCCUGCGAAGGUGUGCUGUGAGGCAUGCUGGAGGUAUCAGAAGUGCGAAUGCUGACAUAAGUAACGAUAAAGCGGGUGAAAAGCCCGCUCGCCGGAAGACCAAGGGUUCCUGUCCAACGUUAAUCGGGGCAGGGUGAGUCGACCCCUAAGGCGAGGCCGAAAGGCGUAGUCGAUGGGAAACAGGUUAAUAUUCCUGUACUUGGUGUUACUGCGAAGGGGGGACGGAGAAGGCUAUGUUGGCCGGGCGACGGUUGUCCCGGUUUAAGCGUGUAGGCUGGUUUUCCAGGCAAAUCCGGAAAAUCAAGGCUGAGGCGUGAUGACGAGGCACUACGGUGCUGAAGCAACAAAUGCCCUGCUUCCAGGAAAAGCCUCUAAGCAUCAGGUAACAUCAAAUCGUACCCCAAACCGACACAGGUGGUCAGGUAGAGAAUACCAAGGCGCUUGAGAGAACUCGGGUGAAGGAACUAGGCAAAAUGGUGCCGUAACUUCGGGAGAAGGCACGCUGAUAUGUAGGUGAAGUCCCUUGCGGAUGGAGCUGAAAUCAGUCGAAGAUACCAGCUGGCUGCAACUGUUUAUUAAAAACACAGCACUGUGCAAACACGAAAGUGGACGUAUACGGUGUGACGCCUGCCCGGUGCCGGAAGGUUAAUUGAUGGGGUCAGCGCAAGCGAAGCUCUUGAUCGAAGCCCCGGUAAACGGCGGCCGUAACUAUAACGGUCCUAAGGUAGCGAAAUUCCUUGUCGGGUAAGUUCCGACCUGCACGAAUGGCGUAAUGAUGGCCAGGCUGUCUCCACCCGAGACUCAGUGAAAUUGAACUCGCUGUGAAGAUGCAGUGUACCCGCGGCAAGACGGAAAGACCCCGUGAACCUUUACUAUAGCUUGACACUGAACAUUGAGCCUUGAUGUGUAGGAUAGGUGGGAGGCUUUGAAGUGUGGACGCCAGUCUGCAUGGAGCCGGCCUUGAAAUACCACCCUUUAAUGUUUGAUGUUCUAACGUGGACCCGUGAUCCGGGUUGCGGACAGUGUCUGGUGGGUAGUUUGACUGGGGCGGUCUCCUCCUAAAGAGUAACGGAGGAGCACGAAGGUUGGCUAAUCCUGGUCGGACAUCAGGAGGUUAGUGCAAUGGCAUAAGCCAGCUUGACUGCGAGCGUGACGGCGCGAGCAGGUGCGAAAGCAGGUCAUAGUGAUCCGGUGGUUCUGAAUGGAAGGGCCAUCGCUCAACGGAUAAAAGGUACUCCGGGGAUAACAGGCUGAUACCGCCCAAGAGUUCAUAUCGACGGCGGUGUUUGGCACCUCGAUGUCGGCUCAUCACAUCCUGGGGCUGAAGUAGGUCCCAAGGGUAUGGCUGUUCGCCAUUUAAAGUGGUACGCGAGCUGGGUUUAGAACGUCGUGAGACAGUUCGGUCCCUAUCUGCCGUGGGCGCUGGAGAACUGA
rnacentral:rRNA from 1 species